rnacentral:rRNA from 1 species
UUCCGGUUGAUCCUGCCGAAGGCUACUGCUAUUGGAGUUCGAUUAAGCCAUGCGAGUCUAAGGGAUCUUCGGAUCCCUGGCGUAAUGCUCAGUAACACGUGGAUAAUCUACCCUCAGGUGGGGCAUAAACCCGGGAAACUGGGGCCAAUUCCCCAUAAAUACAGAUGGCUGGAAUGCUUCUGUAUUCAAAGCUCCGGCGCCUGAGGAUGAGUCUGCGGCCUAUCAGGUUGUAGUCAGGGUCAAGACCUGACUAGCCAGCGACGGGUAUGGGGUGUGAGAGCACUUGCCCAGAGAUGGUUUCUGAGACACGAAACCAGGCCCUACGGGGCGCAGCAGGCGCGAAAACUUCGCAAUGCGGGAAACCGUGACGAGGGAACUCCGAGUGUCUAUGCAUUGCAUAGACUGUUUUUUAGCCUAAAUAGCUAUUAGAGUAAGGGGUGGGCAAGACCGGUGCCAGCCGCCGCGGUAACACCGGCACCCCGAGUGGUAGCCACUAUUAUUGGGCCUAAAGCGUUCGUAGCCGGUUUGGUAAAUUCUUGGGUAAAUCGUACCGCUCAACGGUGCGGAUUCCGGGGACACUACCAGACUUGAGACCGGGGGAGAUCAGAGGUACUUGUGGGGGAGCGGUGAAAUGUUGUAAUCCCGCAGGGACCACCAGUGGCGAAGGCGUCUGAUCAGAACGGCUCUGACGGUGAGGAACGAAACCCUGGGGCGCAAACGGGAUUAGAUACCCCGGUAGUCCAGGGCGUAAACGCUGCUGACUUGG